GGGCCCGCACAAGCGGUGGAGCAUGUGGUUUAAUUCGAUGAUACGCGAGGAACCUUACCAGGGCUUAAAUGUAACGGGACAGAUCUAGAGAUAGAUCCUUCUUCGGACUCAUUACAAGGUGCUGCAUGGUUGUCGUCAGCUCGUGCCGUGAGGUGUCAGGUUAAGUCCUAUAACGAGCGCAACCCCCAUCGUUAGUUGCCAACGAGUAAUGUCGGGAACUCUAACGAAACUGCCGGUGCAAACCGCGAGGAAGGUGGGGAUGACGUCAAAUCAUCACGGCCCUUACGAGUAGGGCUACACACGUGCUACAAUGGCGCAUACAGAGGGCAGCCAACUUGCGAGAGUGAG
rnacentral:rRNA from 1 species